AGAGGCCGAUGGAGUAUUCAUGAGACGGCUGAUCCAGGAAGGACUGUGGCAUAUUAAUAUGGAAAAGGCCUGUUUGUUUGUGCUUGGAGAGGAAGGAGCCAGAGGAGAGGGGAGCAAGGUGGGCGGGAGCUGGGGAGAGCCUGCAGCAAGAUCUGCAGAGCCCGAGGUGCUCUCGGCCUGGGCCCUGGAGAGGACGUAGGGUAAGUGAUGGGGCACAGGCUGUGCGUCAGGGGGAAGGUGCUGGGGCCUGAAGGUCCCGCGGGGAACCUCAGACGAGAGAGGCACCCAGAUGAGAAACUAAGGCUCAGAAAAAGUUGCCAAUGGCCUGGCGUGGU
rnacentral:lncRNA from 1 species